rnacentral:lncRNA from 1 species
AGUUGAGACACGUCCAGGGCCAGGCGGGUUGCCGGAAUCCGUGGAGGAUGGAUGCUGGUUCACAACCGUCGGGAGCCGCUGUGGGGACCCUGCGGCAACUCCCUAAGACUCGAAGGCUCCAUCUAAUGAACCAUCAGGGCCCUGGUCACAAGGCACCAAAGGAGGUUGCUGUCCAGGAGCCAGUGCUCUAGGAGGCCUCAUCCUCUCAGGAGCAAAUUCAAAC